UACGGGGGGAGCAAGCGUUGUUCGGAUUUACUGGGCGUAAAGGGCGCGUAGGCGGUCAGCACAAGUCAGUUGUGAAAUCUCCGGGCUUAACUCGGAAAGGUCAACUGAUACUGUGCGACUAGAGUGCGGAAGGGGCAACUGGAAUUCUUGGUGUAGCGGUGAAAUGCGUAGAUAUCAAGAGGAACACCUGCGGCGAAGGCGGGUUGCUGGGCCGACACUGACGCUGACAGCGCGAAAGCUAGGGGAGCGAACGGG
rnacentral:rRNA from 1 species